rnacentral:sRNA from 1 species
GGUACUCCAGGACCAAUUGGAGUUCCAGGCCCAGCGGGACCAAAGGGAGAGAGGGGCAGCAAAGGAGACCCUGGGAUGACAGGACCAACGGGAGCAGCUGGGCUUCCUGGUUUACAUGGACCACCCGGGGACAAGGGAAACCGGGGACACCGAGGUUUUAAAGGAGAGAAAGGGGAGCCGGGGUUACCAGGGCUGGACGGACUGGAUGCCCCAUGCCCAUUGGGCGAAGAUGGCUUACCAGUCCAAGGCUGCUGGAACAAGGGCCAGAGUCCUUGGUUAGUCGCCAAGAA